CUGGAGGUGCGGAGCCCGUGCGGGGAGCAAGGGGUGCGUGGGUGCUGCCGGGUCAGCUCUCCAGCUGAGCAGCAAGCCUUUCCUGUGUGGUAUCCAUGCCAGCUCUGCUGCCCGCACAGGAGCGUGUUGCUGGCACGCUUCUCGCUGAGUUGUCCCUGCCCGUGGGUGACGUGCGUAUGGGGGUGGAAGCAACUCCCCCCCCCCCCCUGCCCUGAAGCCUUCAUCCAGAGACUUCUCGCAGCGGCUGUACUUUUCCAGCGUGUGCAGAACAUUGCUGCGUCUGCCAGGCAGGAGGGAGACCUGCGGCUUCGUUGAGGACUCCUGGAAAGCAGGCAGGAGGGAUGCACAGGCUGAUGCUUGAACGCGGGUUCCCUGCGAGUAAAAGCAUCCCUGUCUUCGUGCCCUUCACCCCUCUCUCUGCUUGUUAUUUGCUGAUUAAGGUCUAACUAUAGUCCAGAGAUUGCUUUUGGAAUAGAAAUUACUUAAAAGGU